UACGUAGGCAGCAAGCGUUGUUCGGAGUUACUGGGCGUAAAGCGUGCGCAGGCGGUUCUUUAAGGCAGAUGUGAAAUCCCCGGGCUCAACCUGGGAACUGCAUUUGUGACUGUAGAGCUGGAGUGCGGCAGAGGGGGAUGGAAUUCCGCGUGUAGCAGUGAAAUGCGUAGAUAUGCGGAGGAACACCGAUGGCGAAGGCAAUCCCCUGGGCCUGCACUGACGCUCAUGCACGAAAGCGUGGGGAGCAAACAGG
rnacentral:rRNA from 1 species